rnacentral:rRNA from 1 species
GCUUACGGCCACACCACCCUGAGCACGCCCGAUCUCGUCCGAUCUCGGAAGCUAAGCAGGGUAGGGCCUGGUUAGUACUUGGAUGGGAGACCGCCUGGGAAUACCAGGUGCUGUAAGCU